rnacentral:rRNA from 1 species
GGAGUUAGCCGGUGCUUCUUCUGCGAGUAACGUCACAGAUGUAAGGUAUUAACUUACACCCUUUCCUCCUCGCUGAAAGUGCUUUACAACCCGAAGGCCUUCUUCACACACGCGUCAUGGCUGCAUCAGGGUUUCCCCCAUUGUGCAAUAUUCCCCACUGCUGCCUCCCGUAGGAGUCUGGGCCGUGUCUCAGUCCCAGUGUGGCUGAUCAUCCUCUCAGACCAGCUAGGGAUCGUCGCCUAGGUGAGCCUUUACCUCACCUACUAGCUAAUCCCACCUGGGCUUAUCCAUCAGCGCAAGGCCCGAAGGUCCCCUGCUUUCCCCCGUAGGGCGUAUGCGGUAUUAGCAGUCGUUUCCAACUGUUAUCCCCCACAAAUGGGCAAAUUCCCAGGCAUUACUCACCCGUCCGCCGCUCGUCAUCUUCAAAAGCAAGCUUUUGAAAUGUUACCGCUCGACUUGCAUGUGUUAGGCCUGCCGCCAGCGUUCAAUCUGAGCCAUAAUCAAACUCUGA